UACGGGGGGGGCAAGCGUUGUUCGGAAUUACUGGGCGUAAAGGGCUCGUAGGCGGCCAACUAAGUCAUACGUGAAAUCCCUCGGCUUAACCGGGGAACUGCGUCUGAUACUGGAUGGCUUGAGUUCGGGAGAGGGAUGCGGAAUUCCAGGUGUAGCGGUGAAAUGCGCAGAUAUCAGGAGGAACACCGGUGGCGAAGGCGGUUCUCUGGGCCUUACCUGACACUGAGGAGCGAAAGCGUGGGGAGCGAACAGG
rnacentral:rRNA from 1 species